GAGACACAUACAUCCCCCAGUGAGACAAGUUCAUCUAACAAUAGGGGUUGAAAGACUGAAAGGCUGAAUCUUCCUGGGAGAAAGAUACCUCAGAGGAGACACUUUGGGAGAGAAAGAGUGUUUAAAGUGUUCUGGGAUGCAACAGUUCUUCAUGCCAGCAGCAGCGGUUGGUUCCAGCUUUGGACUUCUUUCCAUAUUCCCAGAAGGAGGCUUAUCACAUUCCUCAGAGAUACCAGUACCAGCCAGCCAGCCAACCUCCUCAGCGGUCUGAGUCCUGACAGACCUCGGGACUCAGGUCCCUCCUCUGAGCCACUGAGGUACCAGUAUAAGUCUAAUCAUGAGAUAAACAUCUAACAAAUCCCAGUUGAGUGACGUUCUACAGAAUACUUGACCAGUACUCUUCGAAACUGCCAAGGUCAUCAAAAACAAUGAAAAGUCUGAGAAACUGUCACAACCAAGAGGAACAUAAGAAGACAUGUCAACUGAAUGUAAAGUGGAUCCCCUGAUGAGAUCCUGGAACACAAAGGUAAUCUGAUGUAUGGAUUUUAAUAAUAAUGUAAUGAUAUUGGUUCAUUAAUUAUGACAAAUAUACUGUACUAAGAUAAGAUGUUAAUAAUAGAGGAAAUUGGGUAUGGGGUGUAUAGGAACUCUUUAAUCUACCUUCACAAGUUUUCUGUAAUCUGAAAUGUUACUGGAGUUCCACUUAUGGUAUGUCCUAGUAAGCUCCUGUACUGGACUAGACAUGGACUCUAGACAAAAUACACCACAAGCCAACUCUCUGAAGGCACUGGGAGUGAAAAAAGAAGCAGAUAGAUUCUGACAGGAGGUCAACACCUACAAGAUAGCAAUAGCAUGGGAUGAAUUUUCUAUGUUUUAUAAUAGUCUUUAACCUGAAGGCAGGCUUCAUCCAGAGUUACUUAGAGUGCUAAAACACUGAUAGAAAAUUCAUAGUCUUUCUGAAAAACCAGAGGAGAGAGUUGGAGGGACCCACAGCUGCUGGACAGUGAGAGGAGAAUCCAAGAAAGGAGUGAACUAGACAGAGGGAGCCACAUAAUUUGUGUUUAAACACUGUUCAACUUCUGGUAAACCGCUGAAUUGCAUAUUUUCAGGGCAGACUGCAAGCAGCCCAACCAAAGAUAAAACAACUGAACUGAAAUUUGUGCUGCAGCCCAAAAACAGUUUGCAGUUUGAAUCAUCCCUAAUGGCAUGUUAAAACAAACAACCACCACCACAACAAAACUGACACUCUUUAAAAAAAAAUAACUAUCAGACAU